rnacentral:rRNA from 1 species
UACGAAGGGGGCGAGCGUUGUUCGGAAUUACUGGGCGUAAAGGGCGCGCAGGCGGCUCUGAAAGUCAGAUGUGAAAGCCCCGGGCUUAACCUGGAAAUUGCCGUUGAUACUAUAUAUCUUGAAUGCUGUGGAGGUAAGCGGAAUAUGUCAUGUAGCGGUGAAAUGCUUAGAUAUGACAUAGAACACCUAUUGCGAAGGCAGCUUACUACGCAGAUAUUGACGCUCAUGCACGAAAGCGUGGGGAUCAAACAGG